UCCUAAGGGUCUUAUCUUUUCUAAUCCAUAUCACGGACUGGAGACUGGCUCCCACACACAUCUCCGUGACCGCGUGGCCACUGCCUCCUAAGGGUCUUAUCUUUUCUAAUCCGUAUCACGGACUGGAGACUGGCUCCCACACACAUCUCCGUGACCGCGUGGCCACUGCCUCCUAAGGGUCUUAUCUUUUCUAAUCCAUAUCACGGACUGGAGACUGGCUCCCACACACAUCUCCGUGACCGCGUGGCCACUGCCUCCUAAGGGUCUUAUCUUUUCUAAUCCACACCACUGACUGGAGAUCGGCUCCCACACACAUCUCCGUGACCGCGUGGCCACUGCCUCCUAAGGGUCUUAUCUUUUCUAAUCCAUAUCACGGACUGGAGAUCGGCUCCCACACACAUCUCCGUGACCGCGUGGCCACUGCCUCCUAAGGGUCUUAUUUUAUCCAGACUCCUGUACCUCUAUAAUCCACUAGACUUUUACAAAAUACAAGUGAGAUCAUGCCCCCCGCACUUAAAAUCUUUCACUGUCCACAAAAUAAAAAAUAAAUUAUUUAGCAAGGCAUAUAAAACCUGACCCGAUCUACCUAUGCAGCCCUGUCUCCCUCUGCUGCCUCCAAACUCCAUGAGACUCCCUCUUCCUUCUUUCCCCCAUUACUGUCACGUUGGUAAGAUCCCACCCAUUCUUUUAAGAUUCAGAUUAAAACAGAAUUUGUCUAUGACCCCUGCCCUCAGCCCCUGCUUCAGCCUAUCAAUUCCUCUUCUGAGAUCCUGCUAUGCCUUGUACAGCAUAUACCAGUUUUGUUACAUCUGUUAUACUGGAAUCUUCUAUUAAUGUCUUUCUUCUCCAUACAAAAAUGGUGAACUCUUUGAAGGCAGAGAGUGUGUAUUUCUUAUCUUUGUGCCUUCAGUCCCCAGCAC
rnacentral:lncRNA from 1 species